GCAUUCGUAGUUCAGUGGUAGAAUUCUCGCUUUCCAUGUGGAAAGCCUGGGUUUGAUUCCUGGCCAACGCA
rnacentral:tRNA from 1 species